rnacentral:rRNA from 1 species
UGAGGAAUUUUGCGCAAUGGGGGAAACCCUGACGCAGCAACGCCGCGUGGGCGAUGAAGGCCUUCGGGUCGUAAAGCCCUGUCGGGCGGGAAGAACGCUCUUGGUCGAAGGACUGGGGGGUGACGGUACCGCCAGAGGAAGCACCGGCUAACUCCGUGCCAGCAGCCGCGGUAAUACGGAGGGUGCAAGCGUUAUUCGGAAUUACUGGGUUUAAAGGGAGCGUAGGCGGGUUGUUAAGUCAGUUGUGAAAGUUUGCGGCUCAACCGUAAAAUUGCAGUUGAUACUGGCGACCUUGAGUGCAACAGAGGUAGGCGGAAUUCGUGGUGUAGCGGUGAAAUGCUUAGAUAUCACGAAGAACUCCGAUUGCGAAGGCAGCUUACUGGAUUGUAACUGACGCUGAUGCUCGAAAGUGUGGGUAUCAAACA